UACAGAGGGGGCAAGCGUUGUUCGGAAUUACUGGGCGUAAAGGGCGCGUAGGCGGCCUUCUAAGUCAGACGUGAAAUCCCUGGGCUCAACCCAGGAACUGCGUCCGAUACUGGGAGGCUUGAAUCCGGGAGAGGGAUGUGGAAUUCCAGGUGUAGCGGUGAAAUGCGUAGAUAUCUGGAGGAACACCGGUGGCGAAGGCGGCAUCCUGGACCGGUAUUGACGCUGAUGCGCGAAAGCCAGGGGAGCAAACGGG
rnacentral:rRNA from 1 species